CGGGGGGCCCUAAAGAUCCGAGUCGAACGCACUCUUCGGAGUUAGUGGCGGACGGGUGAGUAACACGUGGGCAACGUGCCGUUAGGUUCGGAAUAACUCAGGGAAACUUGAGCUAAUACCUGCUGUGCCCUUGGGGGGAAAGAUUUAUCGCCUUUAGAGGGGCCGGCGUCUGAUUAGCUAGUUGGGGAGGUAAAGGCUCACCAAGGGGACGAUCAGUAUCUGGUCUGAGAGGAUGAUCAGCCACAUUGGGACUGAGACACGGCCCAAACUCCUACGGGAGGCAGCAGUGGGGAAUCUUGCGCAAUGGGCGAAAGCCUGACGCAGCCAUGCCGCGUGAAUGACGAAGGUCUUAGGAUUGUAAAAUUCUUUCACCGGGGACGAUAAUGACGGUACCCGGAGAAGAAGCCCCGGCUAACUUCGUGCCAGCAGCCGCGGUAAUA
rnacentral:rRNA from 1 species